AUGGGAAUGAGGUUCUCCCUUAGUAUGAAAUACUAAAACCGCUUUUUAUAGCUGAUGACUUCUGCGAUU
rnacentral:ncRNA from 1 species